rnacentral:rRNA from 1 species
CUCCGGUUGAUCCCGCCGGACCCGACUGCUAUCAGAGUGGGACUAAGCCAUGCGAGUCAACAUAGCAAUAUGUGGCAUACGGCUCAGUAACACGUAGUCAACAUGCCCAGGGGACGUGGAUAACCUCGGGAAACUGAGGAUAAACCGCGAUAGGUCAUCACUUCUGGAAUGGGUAAUGACUUAAAUCUAUAUGGCCCCUGGAUUGGACUGCGGCCGAUCAGGCUGUUGGUGAGGUAAUGGCCCACCAAACCUGUAACCGGUACGGGCUCUGAGAGGAGGAGCCCGGAGAUGGGCACUGAGACAAGGGCCCAGGCCCUAUGGGGCGCAGCAGGCGCGAAACCUCUGCAAUAGGCGAAAGCUUGACAGGGUUACUCUGAGUGAUUUCCGUUAAGGAGAUCUUUUGGCACCUCUAAAAAUGGUGCAGAAUAAGGGGUGGGCAAGUCUGGUGUCAGCCGCCGCGGUAAUACCAGCACCUCGAGUGGUCAGGACGUUUAUUGGGCCUAAAGCAUCCGUAGCCGGCUCUGCAAGUCUUCGGUUAAAUCCACCUGCUCAACAGAUGGGCUGCUGGAGAUACUACAGAGCUAGGGAGUGGGAGAGGCAGACGGUAUUCAGUGGGUAGGGGUAAAAUCCUCUGAUCCAUUGAGGACCACCAGUGGCGAAGGCGGUCUGCCAGAACACGUUCGACGGUGAGGGAUGAAAGCUGGGGGAGCAAACCGGAUUAGAUACCCGGGUAGUCCCAGCUGUAAACGAUGCAAACUCGGUGAUGCGUUGGCUUAUGGCCAAUGCAGUGCCGCAGGGAAGCCGUUAAGUUUGCCACCUGGGGAGUACGGUCGCAAGACUGAAACUUAAAGGAAUUGGCGGGGGAGCA